UCCAGACUCCUACGGGAGGCAGCAGUGGGGAAUAUUGGGCAAUGGGCGCAAGCCUGACCCAGCAACGCCGCGUGAAGGAAGAAGGCUUUCGGGUUGUAAACUUCUUUUAUCAGGGACGAAGCAAGUGACGGUACCUGAUGAAUAAGCCACGGCUAACUACGUGCCAGCAGCCGCGGUAAUACGUAGGUGGCAAGCGUUAUCCGGAUUUACUGGGUGUAAAGGGCGUGUAGGCGGGAGUGCAAGUCAGAUGUGAAAACUAUGGGCUCAACCCAUAGCCUGCAUUUGAAACUGUACUUCUUGAGUGCUGGAGAGGCAAUCGGAAUUCCGUGUGUAGCGGUGAAAUGCGUAGAUAUCAGGAGGAACACCGGCGGCGAAGGCGGCUUGCUGGACGAAAACUGACGUUGAGGCUCGAAAGCGUGGGGAGCAAACAGGAUUAGAUACCCCUGUACA
rnacentral:rRNA from 1 species